rnacentral:rRNA from 1 species
AUACGUAGGUGGCGAGCGUUGUCCGGAAUUACUGGGCGUAAAGGAUGCGUAGGUGGAUACUUAAGUGGGAUGUGAAAUCCCCGGGCUCAACCCGGGAACUGCAUUCCAAACUGGGUAUCUAGAGUGCAGGAGAGGAAAGCGGAAUUCCUAGUGUAGCGGUGAAAUGCGUAGAUAUUAGGAGGAACACCAGUGGCGAAGGCGGCUUUCUGGACUGUAACUGACACUGAGGCAUGAAAGCGUGGGUAGCAAACAGGAUUAGAUACCCUGGUAGUCCACGCCGUAAACGAUGGGUACUAGGUGUAGGAGGUAUCGACCCCUUCUGUGCCGUCGUUAACACAAUAAGUACCCCGCCUGGGGAGUACGGUCGCAAGACUAAAACUCAAAUGAAUUGGCGGGG